rnacentral:tRNA from 1 species
GCCUGGGUGGCUCAGUCGGUUGAGCGUCUGACUUCAGCUCAGGUCACGAUCUCGCGGUCCGCGAGUUCGAGCCCCGCAUCGGGCU